CGGAUCGGAGUCUGCAACCCGACUCCGUGAAGCUGGAUUCGCUAGUAAUCGCGCAUCAGCCAUGGCGCGGUGAAUACGUUCCCGGGCCUUGUACACACCGCCCGUCAAGCCAUGGAAGCCGGGGGGCGCUUGAAGUGCGUUGCCGCAAGGCGCGCCCUAGAGCGAAACCGGUGACUGGGGCUAAGUCGUAACAAGGUAAC
rnacentral:rRNA from 1 species